rnacentral:rRNA from 1 species
AAUGAACGCUGGCGGCGUGCCUAACACAUGCAAGUCGGAUGUGCCGCAAGGUGCAUGGCAGACGGGUGAGUAACGCGUGGGGAACCUACCUCUUCGUGGGGAAUAACGAUCCGAAAGGAUUGGUAAUACCGCAUGAGACCGACGGCUGGGAUGCUGUCGGUGAAAGCUGGGGACCGGAAACGGCCUGGCGCGAGGAGAGGGUCCUGCGUCUGAUUAGCUAGUUGGUGGGGUAACGGCCUACCAAGGCAUCGAUCAGUAGCCGGCCUGAGAGGGUGAUCGGCCACACUGGAACUGAGACACGGUCCAGACUCCUACGGGAGGCAGCAGUGGGGAAUUUUGCGCAAUGGACGAAAGUCUGACGCAGCAACGCCGCGUGGGUGAUGAAGGUCUUCGGAUUGUAAAACCCUGUCGUCGGGGACGAAGGUAGGAGGGUUAAUAGCCCUUUUGCUUGACGGUACCCGGAGAGGAAGCCCCCGGGCUAACUCUGUGCCAGCAGCCGCGGUAAU